rnacentral:lncRNA from 1 species
AAAGGUGCCGCAAGGCCUCGAUGACGCGCUUCCGGCACGGGAUGUUUUCGGUUGUUUGACCGAGAGAGUUGUAGGCGCAAAGCUGAGGAAAGGAGAGUGUGGAGAGGGGCCUGGUGUGGUGGGGCCCGGUGGCUGGACCGGAAGAGGCGCUGAGCCGGCUCCGAGAACUCUGUCGUCGGUGGCUGAGACCCGAGCUGCUCUCCAAGGAGCAGAUCCUGGAGCUGCUGGUGCUGGAGCAGUUCCUCACCAUCCUGCCCGAGGAGCUUCAAGCCUGGGUGCGAGAGCACUGCCCAGAGAGCGGGGAGGAGGCGGUGGCCGUGGUGCGGGCUCUGCAGCGAGCGCUCGAUGGAACCUCAUCCCAGGGGAUGGUGACUUUCGAGGACACGGCUGUGUCUCUAACCUGGGAGGAGUGGGAGCGCCUGGACCCAGCACGGAGGGACUUCUGCAGAGAGAGUGCGCAGAAGGAUUCCGGGAGCACAGUUCCGCCGAGUUUGGAAAGCAGAGUGGAGAACAAAGAGUUGAUUCCAAUGCAACAAAUUUUA